GUUUGGGCUGGAUUCUGUGUGAGCAGGGUGAGAACCACCAGGUGGCCAACACUGGCUCCGGGCACCGCGGGUACCUCAGGUUCCCCACCCGGGAGAUGGAAACACAGCCUCACUUAAAGGGUCUCAGGGGCUCCUACCAGACUGCACACACAGACAAGCUCAGAAGGCAAGGGGACCUCACCUGUUCACUUCAUACCUUGUCAACUUUCGUUUAAACAUUAUGUAAUUAUCGUAAUUCACAGGGAAUUCUGUUCCUCCCUGCUUCCUCCACUUCUUGGGGCAGAGAAAGGUAAUUUGAAAGGCGUUUGUGUCCGUGAUUCCCAGAGGAAAGGAAAGCUUGACUCACGGUGGGUGCUACCAGGCCUGCAGGCUGCCCAAGGCUCCCAGACCCUACAAACCCCACAGAUCCGUCCGGGCCUCCACAGCAUCAUGGCGUGGGUCUGCAAACAGCUCUGGGAACUCCAGGGUGCACGCUGAUCUUCUCCUCGAUGAAAGGUUGAAAAACAAAAUCUUAAUCACAUUGUGCUGAAUGUACUGAACACCUAGGCCUGCGGUUAGAGGAAGAAAUCAACUUGGAACAGUGGUGCCAUGUGGAAUCCUGCUAGCAGGGAGGAAAACACCCUGCCGUCUAAAUAG
rnacentral:lncRNA from 1 species